CGAAGCGCUGCUGUCACCCCGGCCGCGCCCCCCAACUUUCUGCACAGUCGCGGAGCUGGAAGUUUCCGGGCUUCGCGGACACGCUGGGCUGGGUUUCAGUCGCGGCUCCGAGGUUGGCAACAAAGAGGGAAAGAAGGAGGAAAAGCAGGCCGGGGAGGGGAGGAAGAGAACCGCGCGGAGGCCGCGGCGCCGAGAGCCCCAGAACUUCCAAUUCUACCCAGAAGCUUUUUUCGUCGUGUUUUUCUCUUAGACAUGAUCCUCUCUGAGGUUGGUCCUGGGCUUCCAUACGUGAUUCAUGGAAGAGGUCUCAGCCCCAAGAGCCCCUGAGGGUACUGUCCACUCCCCCUGGAAACUUCCAGAACCUGACGUGGGGCUGAAGACAUAGAGGUAAUGGGGAUGGGCUGGUGGGGCGCUGGCUGGGACAAUGUGUGGAGCCCUUGUUUUCAGAGCUACAGAUGCUUGUCAGCUGACAGUUCGUUUCCAGCAUCCACAGUGGACCUCCUUUGGGGGAGCAUUUACCUGCCAAUGAACCCCAAGAUCCUUUCUCAGAGGCGGCGGGAUGAAGUUUUCCUUUUUUUUUUUUUUAGUUAAUAUAUUUUAUUUAAACCAAUAUAUCCAAAAUAUUAUCAGUUCAACAUACGAUCAAGAUAAAGAUUAAUGAGAUACUUUACAUUUUCAUACUAAAUCUUUUUUUAAAUUUUUGUGAGUACAUAGUAGGUAUAAACAUUUAGGGAUGAAGUUUCUUACUGUGUUUUCCCAGUAACAAGCACUGGCAUCAGCUGUCAUGAUUUCUCCCCAAGGCCUAGGAUGGUCAGCCUCGCACGCUCCACAGCAGAGUGACUGAAGCUCUAUCGAGGUGUGGCACGAGCGUGUUGUCAUUUCAAGAGAAUCUGCAGCCUCCCUGGUUUUUAAUGAAAGCUCCUAUGCAGGGCCUGGCCCUUUCCUGGGGAGGGAAGGCUGGCUGUGUCUCCCGCUGCAUCCUCACUGGGAACUUCAUUCCUGAGCUGCGACCGCUAUUUUUUGGAUUGGAAAAUGCCUUGGGAACGGCUCAUCUUCCUGCGGCUUGAGCCCAUUUGUUUUCUGACUGGUGGUCACUGGUGAUUAGAGUGUGUCCCAAAGGGAACCGUCACCUUAGUUCUAUCAUACACUAUCAAUAACUUGUCCAGGGCUGACUUUGUGGCUGUGUGGCUUGCCCAGUGGUAGAGGGCCGGUGUGCAGAAGGGCCCCACACUCAAUGUUUGGCUGUCCCCGGUCUUAAAAUUCUUAGUCAUUCUUGAACAAGGGAACCCAUAUUUUCAUUUUGUUCUAGGCUCUGAGAGUUACAUAAUUGAUUCUGACUUUGGCUGUUGGUCAACAGUGUCAUAAGGUAAAAUAAGGGACCGUGGACUGUGAUGUUUACAGUACGAAAGCACUGGGAGAGAACGCUACAUCACAAAGUGUCCUUAACCUGCUGCCGCCUCAGCUUUCCCAUUUGUGACUUGGUUAAAAAAAAUUUUUUUGACAGUUUUAAGCUCUUAUUUUAAUUUCCACAGGCUGUUGUAGAAUCUGCUCAGCCAGGGAGGGGAAAGGAGUCGGCAAUCAGGUCUCCUCCUGGGCACCUUUGUGAGGCCAGCUGGCGAGAGUGGGGGGUGACACUGAGGUCCCAGCAGCUCCAAAUGCAGGCAGAGCCCUGUCCUCAGAGAAGGUCACAGCCUAGCCAAGCCCAGCCAGGUGGAUGGGCCCACGGAACGCACAGGAACCUGGAACGGAGGUUGAAAGCAGGAAGCACAGUCUGUGACUCCCCAGCCCACUCUGCAUUCGACCACUUGGGGCCCAGAAGCUUCAGGAAAGGUGCACAAGGUCACUGGGUCCCAGUACUCCCAACAGGAAGGUCUGGUCCAGGGACAGGGCUCUUCCCGACUCCCCUUAGCCACACGCACCAGAAGUUCUGCAGUGCCCAGUGGGCAUAGCAGUCCCCAAGAAUGACCCAGCACUGAAGCUGAGCCAAAGAACUUGGGGAGCGAGCCACACCCCCUCACUCCCUCUUCGCCUGCUCCAGACUUGCCAGGCGGUUGCUUUUCGUGGGAACCGGGAUGUCCUCACCACCCUGUCCAGGGCCCAGCCCCAUGUCCCUGGCCUGCUACAGCUGGAAAAAAAAAAGAGAGAUGUUUGUUUUUAUUUGUUUAUAAAAAGAAAAGUGUUAUAUAUAUAACAUAUUAUACCUCAUGAAUACAUACAAUUAUUUGUCAAUUAACAAUAAAGAAAAAUACAGCAAGCAAAAAAGA
rnacentral:lncRNA from 10 species